CCUACGGGAGGCAGCAGUGAGGAAUAUUGGUCAAUGGACGCGAGUCUGAACCAGCCAAGUAGCGUGAAGGAUGACUGCCCUACGGGUUGUAAACUUCUUUUAUAAGGGAAUAAAGUUCGGCACGUGUUCCUUUUUGUAUGUACUUUAUGAAUAAGGAUCGGCUAACUCCGUGCCAGCAGCCGCGGUAAUACGGAGGAUCCGAGCGUUAUCCGGAUUUAUUGGGUUUAAAGGGAGCGUAGAUGGGUUGUUAAGUCAGUUGUGAAAGUUUGCGGCUCAACCGUAAAAUUGCAAUUGAUACUGGGUGCCUUGAGUGCAGCUGAGGUAGGCGGAAUUCGUGGUGUAGCGGUGAAAUGCUUAGAUAUCACGAAGAACUCCGAUUGCGAAGGCAGCUUACUAAACUGCCACUGACAUUGAUGCUCGAAAGUGUGGGUAUCAAACAGGAUUAGAUACCCUGGUAGUC
rnacentral:rRNA from 1 species